UACAAAAAUGAGUGAAAUGGUCUAAACGCGUCUGGAUACUGAACAAUGUCAUAUUGUUUCGUCCGAGGAGAUAUGACAGCUUCACCACCAAAACCGGUGAUGCUGACAGGGCCCGCGGUGUCGGGAGCGGGAGCUCUACACACCUUUGCACACGCCCCAAUUAGAAGCCGGCACCAGGUGCGACUCCCAGUAUCAGCCACAUCCUAGGCACCCCAGAUGGGCACCAAUGUGUCCAUCUACUAUGUGUCAGGCGUGGAGGGCUUUAGGCCGUAAAGUUAACUGCAGCACUGUUAUCAACCGUACGACCUAGAACGAAGUGAAACAGCAUCAGUCUUAUAGCGACCGCCGAGGGGUGCAGAUCUAUCUGCUAAACAUACAUAUAUUUAUAUUUUAUUUUCUGCGUUCAUUUAAUUUGCUGUAUUUAUCUUCUUAGCUUAUUGAAUAAACUCAUUAGGAGGACGAACGUGUUGAUUUUAUUACUCCCGUGUGCACCCUUUACAUCCCUGAUUCCUUUACAUUUUUGCACCCCUUAUAUCUCUGCAUCCCUUAUGUCCCUGCGUUCCUUAUAGCUCCGUACUUCUUACAUGUCUGCUUCCUUUAUAUCCGUGCAUUUCUUACAUCUCUGCAUCCAUUAUAGCCUUACUUCUUUUAAAUCCCUGCAUUCCAUUAACCCUUGCUGUCUUUAUAUUCCCACAAUUCUUACACUCCUUUUAUCUUUAUCCUUUACACCUUUACAUUCCUUAUACCCUUCAAUCCU